UACGUAGGGGGGCAAGCGUUGUCCGGAAUCAUUGGGGCGUAAAGAGCGUGUAGGCGGCCCGGUAAGUCCGCUGUGAAAGUCGGGGGCUCAACCCUCGAAUGCCGGUGGAUACUGUCGGGCUAGAGUGCGGAAGAGGCGAGUGGAAUUCCUGGUGUAGCGGUGAAAUGCGCCAGAUAUCAGGAGGAACACCGAUUGCGAAGGCAGCUCGCU
rnacentral:rRNA from 1 species